GACAGAGGGUGCAAACGUUGUUCGGAAUUACUGGGCGUAAAGCGCGUGUAGGCGGCAGGGCAUGUCGGAUGUGAAAUCCCGUGGCUCAACUGGGGAACUGCGCUGGAUACUGGUGGACUUGAGUACCGGAGAGGAGAGUGGAAUUCCUGGUGUAGCGGUGAAAUGCGUAGAUAUCAGGAGGAACACCGGUGGCGAAGGCGGCUCUCUGGACGGAUACUGACGCUGAGGCGCGAAAGCGUGGGGAUCAAACAGG
rnacentral:rRNA from 1 species